UACGUAGGGUGCAAGCGUUAUCCGGAAUUAUUGGGCGUAAAGAGCUCGUAGGCGGUUUGUCGCGUCUGCUGUGAAAACUGGAGGCUCAACCUCCAGCCUGCAGUGGGUACGGGCAGACUAGAGUGCGGUAGGGGAGAUUGGAAUUCCUGGUGUAGCGGUGGAAUGCGCAGAUAUCAGGAGGAACACCAAUGGCGAAGGCAGAUCUCUGGGCCGAUACUGACGCUGAGGAGCGAAAGCGUGGGGAGCGAACAGG
rnacentral:rRNA from 1 species